rnacentral:rRNA from 1 species
UACGUAGGGGGCUAGCGUUGUCCGGAAUCAUUGGGCGUAAAGAGCGUGUAGGCGGCCCGGUAAGUCCGCUGUAAAAGUCAAAGGCUCAACCUUUGAAUGUCAGUGGAUACUGCCGGGCUAGAGUCCGGAAGAGGCGAGUGGAACUCCUGGUGUAGCGGUGGAAUGCGCAGAUAUCUGGAGGAACACCGGUGGCGAAGGCGGCAUUCUGGACCGACAUUGACGCUGAGGAGCGAAAGCGUGGGGAGCGAACAGG